GCACGGGGGAUGUACUAAGCAUGCGAGUCAUUGUAGCAAUACAAGGCAGACGGCUCAGUAACGCGUAGUCAAUCUACCCUAUGGACGGGGAUAACCUCGGGAAACUGAGAAUAAUACUCGAUAGAACAUUAUGCCUGGAACGGUUUAUGUUUCAAAUGAUUUAUCGCCAUAGGAUGGGACUGCGGCCUAUCAGUUUGUUGGUGAGGUAAUGGCCCACCAAGACUAUUACAGGUACGGGCUCUGAGAGGAGUAGCCCGGAGAUGGGUACUGAGACACGGACCCAGGCCCUAUGGGGCGCAGCAGGCGAGAAAACUUUGCAAUGUGCGAAAGCACGACAAGGUUAAUCCGAGUGGUUCCUGCUAAAGGAACCUUUUGUCGGUCCUAGAAACACCGAUGAAUAAGGGGUGGGCAAGUUCUGGUGUCAGCCGCCGCGGUAAAACCAGCACCUCAAGUGGUCAGGAUGAUUAUUGGGCCUAAAGCAUCCGUAGCCGGCUCUGUAAGUUUUCGGUUAAAUCUGUACGCUUAACGUACAGGCUGCCGGGAAUACUGCAUAGCUAGGGAGUGGGAGAGGUAGACGGUACUCGGUAGGAAGGGGUAAAAUCCUUUGAUCUAUUGAUGACCACCUGUGGCGAAGGCGGUCUACCAGAACACGUUCGACGGUGAGGGAUGAAAGCUGGGGGAGCAAACCGGAUUAGAUACCCGGGUAGUCCCAGCUGUAAACUAUGCAAACUCAGUGAUGCAUUGGCUUGUGGCCAAUGCAGUGCUGCAGGGAAGCCGUUAAGUUUGCCGCCUGGGAAGUACGUACGCAAGUAUGAAACUUAAAGGAAUUGGCGGGGGAGCACCACAAGGGGUGAAGCCUGCGGUUCAAUUGGAGUCAACGCCGGGAAUC
rnacentral:rRNA from 1 species